GGACCUGGCUGUCCUUUAUAAUCAACUGAGUUGCCCGAGUGGCUCUGUGUGACCCGAAUGCUGGAUGCAUCGUGUGGGGAGAAGCCAGCCUCGGGGACCAGGGCUGCCCAGGAGGCCCCGUCCCACGGUGACUGGCUGUGCCUUGAGGGCUAGGACCUCACACUGUGGCAGGUGUCCUCAGCACACCUGGACCCCUUCUCUCCCAGUGACAUCCACAACCAGAAACACAGCGAUGCACACCAGUGAUUUCCAUGCACUUUAAUGAGGUCCAGCACUCAGGAGGAUUAGCGCC
rnacentral:lncRNA from 1 species